rnacentral:rRNA from 1 species
GACGAACGCUGGCGGCGUGCUUAACACAUGCAAGUCGAACGGAAAGGCCCUGCUUUUGUGGGGUGCUCGAGUGGCGAACGGGUGAGUAACACGUGAGUAACCUGCCCUUGACUUUGGGAUAACUUCAGGAAACUGGGGCUAAUACCGGAUAGGAGCUCCUGCUGCAUGGUGGGGGUUGGAAAGUUUCGGCGGUUGGGGAUGGACUCUCGGCUUAUCAGCUUGUUGGUGGGGUAGUGGCUUACCAAGGCUUUGACGGGUAGCCGGCCUGAGAGGGUGACCGGCCACAUUGGGACUGAGAUACGGCCCAGACUCCUACGGGAGGCAGCAGUGGGGAAUAUUGCACAAUGGGCGGAAGCCUGAUGCAGCAACGCCGCGUGCGGGAUGACGGCCUUCGGGUUGUAAACCGCUUUCGCCUGUGACGAAGCGUGGGUGACGGUAAUGGGUAAAGAAGCACCGGCUAACUACGUG